rnacentral:tRNA from 1 species
GCACAGGUGGCAGAGCGGUCAAAUGCACCAGACUGUAAAUCUGGCGGGCCUCGCCCUUCGAAGGUUCGAAUCCUUCCCUGUGCA